AUUGAACGCUGGCGGCAGGCCUAACACAUGCAAGUCGAGCGAGCGGCGGACGGGUGAGUAAUGUAUGGGGACUGCCCGAUAGAGGGGGAUAACUACUGGCAACGGUGGCUAAUACCGAAUACUAUCGGAUAACCCAUAUGGGAUUAGCUAGUAGGUGGGGUCAAGGCUCACCUAGGCGACGAUCUCUAGCUGGUCUGAGAGGAUGAUCAGCCACACUGGGACGGAGACACGGACCAGACUCCUACGGAGGCAGCAGGGGGGAAUAGUGCGCAAUGGGCGCAAGCCUGAUGCAGCCAUGCCGAGUGUAUGAAGAAGGCCUCCGGGUUGUAAAGUACGUUCAGUCGGGAGGCGUUACCGGCAGAAGAAGCACCGGCUAACUCCGUGCCAGCAGCCGCGGUAAUUC
rnacentral:rRNA from 1 species